rnacentral:rRNA from 1 species
AUUGAACGCUGGCGGCAUGCUUUACACAUGCAAGUCGGACGAGUGGCGGACGGGUGAGUAAUAUAUUGGAACGUACCGAGUAACGGGGGAUAACCAAUCGAAAGAGUGGCUAAUACCGAAUAAUAUUCGAGCGGCGAAUAUCGGAUUAGCUAGUUGGUGGGGGAAAGGCCUACCAAGGCGACGAUCCGUAGCGGGUCUGAGAGGAUGAUCCGCCAACCUGGGACUGAGACACGGCCCAGACUCCUACGGGAGGCAGCAGUGGGGAAUUUUGGACAAUGGGCGCAAGCCGGAUCCAGCCCUGCCGCGUGUAUGAAGAAGGCCUUCGGGUUGUAAAGUACUUUUGUUAGGGAAGCGGUACCUGACGAAUAAGCACCGGCUAACUACGUGCCAGCAGCCGCGGUAAUAC